rnacentral:lncRNA from 1 species
GUCAAACCUUUCCAGAAACAAAAGCUUAACAGUUUCCUGCAGGAAGGACUGAAGUGGAGCCACCAAUCAGAAGUAUGUAUCCUGAAUCAAAAUGCUCAGCAGAGACUUGAUCAGAUCAAUAUAUUGGCAGAUAUGUGGCAACAAUUUAUCAAAAUGGAACUUACAGAAUCCACUGUGGGGGCAACCCGAAAUUCUGCUUUGGUACUUGCCUUAUUCCACUUGGUCUCUGCGGACUGGCUCACCUGCUGGAAAGCCUGAGGAUCUACCAAAUUAAAAAAAUUGGAAAUAUAACAACAAAAAAGCACCUAGCGUUACAUCUGUUUUUUUCUGGAUGAUAACUGAACUCUGUAAGUAAGAAAACUGGGGUCUGGAGUCUACCGUGAAGUUUAUGGUAC